rnacentral:rRNA from 1 species
CGCAUCUGUGCAUGCAGCAUAUCAAUAAGCGGAGGAAAAGAAACUAACAAGGAUUCCCCUAGUAACGGCGAGUGAAGCGGGAAGAGCUCAAAUUUGAAAUCUUAAAGGGUUUCCCUUUACGAAUUGUAGUUUAAAGAAGUGUUUUCUGUUGAGGUUUUGGUAAAAGUUCUUUGGAAUAGGACAUCAUAGAGGGUGAGAAUCCCGUAUUUGACCUUUACUUUCAACUUUGUGAUACACUUUCAAAGAGUCGGAUUGUUUGGGAAUGCAGUCCAAAAUGGGUGGUAAAUUUCAUCUAAAGCUAAAUAUUGGCGAGAGACCGAUAGCGAACAAGUACCGUGAGGGAAAGAUGAAAAGAACUUUGAAAAGAGAGUUAAACAGUACGUGAAAUUGUCAAAAGGGAAGCGUUUGACACCAGUGUUGUUUUUCUGAAAAUCAAUUAAAGAGCUGUUCAUGCUAAGUUGUUUAGACUUUAUCAGCUAACUGUUUAGUCUUGAGCUUUUCUUUAAUGCACUUUUCAGUUAACAAGUCAACAUCAAUUUCUUUUGCUGUAAAAAAGCAUGAGGAAGGUGGCUUGAGAUUCGUCUUAAGUGUUUAUAGCCUCUUGCCUAUGCAGUCGGAGAGAUUGAGGUCUGCAGCGUAGAUCCUUCGGGGCUAAAUGCAUUUGUGCUAAGUUAUAGCAUUUUAUAGACAACUUGUUGACUAUGAUUUGUCUUGUAGCUUACUCGCUUAUGUUAUUUUACCUACGCUUAGGAUGUUGAACGCGCACAGAGUCUC